rnacentral:piRNA from 1 species
UGUGUCCGUCUUCUGAACAAAGAU